CUGUGCAUUUCAAUCCGCCGAGCGGAAUGGUGGGCUCGUGGGUUCGCCAUGUGCGCAUUUAUGCUUAAAUUGACUGGAGUCAGGCGGUUGCUGUGCGUAGCGAGCACGUUUGAUAGCGUCUUUUCUUUUACUUCUGCCAGUGGCAACAGGUAUGUGAAGUAACGAGUUUGUACUCUUCGGCGGCGAUCUCCUGUGAUGCUCAAGAGCAAACGUUGUCAUUAGCUCGGCACCAGAACACAAUCUUUUCUUGGUGAAAUUCGACAAUGACGACGACUUGGGAGAAAGAAACCGUGGAUACAUCCGUAGGCAUCAUCCGCGUGCCCACACUGCGGGGAUCUGCAGGGAUGUUGGUGAUUGCAGUGACUGUAGAAACGCUUCGUUCCUUGAUGUGGAGGAGUUUGACUCUCCAAUUCAGAGGAAAACAUUGCCACAUGUUAGGAGGGGCGUCUAUUGAACCGGUUACCCUUGGGCUUGUGAAGCCAUGUCUCAGCUGCAAGGUGAGUUUGCCCACUUUCAGGCAGCUCUUCUGGCCUCAUCCAAGAGGUAUGUUUCUUCAUCUACUAGUACUAUAUUCUGCCGUGUUAUAGGAGGUACCAUGAAAACUCGCAUAUAGCCUGUUUUUCUUUUCUUAUAUUUUUACUAUGCCAAAUUUCUGCCUCGAACUGCAUGCGAAUCUCAAUGAUUUCCGGCCCGAAUUCUUGGUUUUGGUUUCGGCAAUACACGGUGCUAUCAUCAUCGCCAUCAUCAUCAGGUGUCGGCACGCUUCUUCGGUAGGUAGCUCUAGUUACGUUAGCUCUACAGGUGCUAGUGGCGUGCAACAAUAGGCAUUACAGCCACUCAGUGCACGUAACAACGACCACGUUUCUACCUCUGUGACUUCCUGCCAUGCCAGCUCUGCGAAGGCAGUAUUUGCCGGCCCUAAUAGAAAGGCUAUCUUAGCUGGGGCGACAUUUCGGCGUGGAGGAGCGGUGUAUUUUUGACUGGAGGAAGCAGAAAAAAGUCUUCUUUGUAUGCAGCGGCCAGCAAAGAAGUUUUUGGGGGCCGAAAAACGAAGCGUUUUCCGACGUUGAACUAGAAUUGGUAAAA